rnacentral:misc_RNA from 1 species
AUUAGUUUAGUAUUCCUAAUUAGACAUGAAUAGGGUUUCCCAAUCCUAAUUUGAUUAGAGCUGUAACUCUAUCAAUAGAGCUAAUUUUCUAUCAUUCAGUAACUUUAGACUAUGAUUAUUAUUGAGAUUAAUAAAAUUGCUAAGAAUUAGUUCUCUUUUCCAAGGCUUGGUCCUUGUUUAUUCUUGUUUUGUUUCGAAGAGCAGAUUGAAGAUGAGAAUGAAGAGUAUGAGAUUGAAGAAUCCAACGAUUCAAGUCUUGAGCAUUCACAUGUUGAAGAGCCUUUUCCAGAGCAAGAAAUUUAUAAAACCGCACAACCAAAGCUUGAGCAAUAUAUAUUGGGGAAUGAAGAAGAUUAUAUAGAGACAUCAAUGAAAAUUGAAGAUUCUAGUGAGUUAAAGAGCAUUUCAAUUAUUGUUCUAAUUGAUUUGAUCUAUCCAAAUGGUUUCAAGGAUGCAAAAGAAAAUGUGGAAUACUUCAACUCAAUUUUGUUGCUACCAUCUAGGAAGAUCGUAUUGUGUGUUCUCCU